AUUGCAAUUCCUCAAAAUCCCUAUUAGGGAUUGAAAC
rfam:Cylindrospermum stagnale PCC 7417, complete genome.